UUAUAAAUGUGUGUGUGUACAUAUAAAUAUAUAUAUAUAUAUCAUCUCACCUGAUGAAGCUCCGACCCAGACAGACAGAGCCAAAAAUUCACAAAUGUCAUUCCUGGAAGAAUUUCAAGCGAGCAUCGAUUCACUGCCCAAUAUUCUGCAAAAGAAGUAUUCGGUUUUGCGUGACUUAGAUAAAAGUUUACAAGAUAUCCAAAGACAAAAUGAACAACGCUGUGAACAAGAAAUCGAGGAUAUCAAGAAAGAGGUUAAGUCUGGAAAUAUUACACCUGAUACUUCACUUAUCAGAUUCUCAGAUGCAGCACUCGAUGAGCAAAGGCACAGCCUCUUGAUUGCAGAUGAAAAGGUUUCCUUGGCAGUUCAGGUGUAUGAUAUGGUGGAUACACACAUACAACAACUUGAUCAAUAUUUAAAAAAAUUUGAUGAAGAACUUCGCCGUGAAAGAGAUGCUGUGCCUGCUAGUGGUUUGCCUGCUGCAAGUUUGGAUGGCAAUGUAAAAUCUGGAAGGGGCAGUGAAGGUGGCAAAGGAGGCCGUAAGAAGUACCUGCCAUUCCUUACAUCUGUUUCUUUUCUUAGCUUAAUAUUUUUUCUUCGUUGGCCUUGUGAGCUUGUUCUUCUUGCACUAUUUUUUUAUAACACGCCUAGCAACAGCAGCUGCAGCAGCAGCUACAGAAACAGCCACUACAGCUGCCACUCCUACUGGUAUGGAUUUGGAUUUACCUGUUGAUCCAAAUGAACCAACAUACUGUGUGUGUAACAAUGUCAGCUAUGGAGAGAUGGUUGCAUGUGACAACCCCACUUGCAAGAUUGAAUGGUUCCAUUUUGGCUGUGUUGGUCUGAGAGAACAACCAAAAGGAAAAUGGUAUUGUUCAGAGUGCGCUGUGAUAAAACACCGUAGAAAAGGAAGAUGAUGCUGUAUUGUACUUUUUUCAAGGACCUGGUCGUCUCCGUUGUAGUCAUGAUGGGAAAAGGAGUAUUGCAUGUAUUAUGUAUACAAUGUGGUCUUCGCCGGAACGAAUGGAUUUGAUCAACCACAAUUUGUAGCAGUUAGUAUCAUGAUGUGAAAAGUAAUGUUGCAUGUAUUAUGUAUACAGUGUGGUCUUCGCCUGAACGAAUGGAUUUGAUCAACCACAAUUUGUAGCAAUUGGUCAACAUAAAUGCAUGGAUGCCAUUGAUUUUUGGA